AGGGGCGUAGCUCAGUUGGUAGAGCACCGGUCUCCAAAACCGGCGGCCGGGGGUUCAAGUCCCUCCGCCCCUGCCA
rnacentral:tRNA from 1 species